UGGAUUGGUGCCUUCGGGAACUCUGAGACAGGUGCUGCAUGGCUGUCGUCAGCUCGUGUUGUGAAAUGUUGGGUUAAGUCCCGCAACGAGCGCAACCCUUAUCCUUUGUUGCCAGCGGUCCGGCCGGGAACUCAAAGGAGACUGCCAGUGAUAAACUGGAGGAAGGUGGGGAUGACGUCAAGUCAUCAUGGCCCUUACGAGUAGGGCUACACACGUGCUACAAUGGCGCAUACAAAGAGAAGCGACCUCGCGAGAGCAAGCGGACCUCAUAAAGUGCGUCGUAGUCCGGAUUGGAGUCUGCAACUCGACUCCAUGAAGUCGGAAUCGCUAGUAAUCGUAGAUCAGAAUGCUACGGUGAAUACGUUC
rnacentral:rRNA from 1 species